UCUCCGUUGGUGAACCAGCGGAGGGAUCGUUACAGGACUCGCAAGCCUCCUUCACUCUGUGAACCUCAAUACCAGCACGUUCCUCCGGCGGGUUUCCCGGUGGGGCCCUCCCCCCGUCUCGGUGCACAGCCUGCCCGCCGCCUACUCAUCUGAGUCUCUCUGCGUUGGUAUUUCGAGUUUCAACACACAAGUUAAAACUUUCAACAACGGUUCACUUGGUUCCCGCAUCGCAGACGAACGCCGCAGAUCUGAAGAGCUCACGUCUGUACCCUAGUC
rnacentral:misc_RNA from 1 species